AGUGAACACUGGCGGUAGGCCUAACACAUGCAAGUCGAACGGCAGCACAGGAGAGCUUGCUCUCUGGGUGGCGAGUGGCGGACGGGUGAGGAUUACAUCGGAAUCUACUCUGUCGUGGGGGAUAACGUAGGGAAACUUACGCUAAUACCGCAUACGACCUACGGGUGAAAGCAGGGGACCUUCGGGCCUUGCGCGAUUGAAUGAGCCGAUGUCGGAUUAGCUAGUUGGCGGGGUAAAGGCCCACCAAGGCGACGAUCCGUAGCUGGUCUGAGAGGAGGAUCAGCCACACUGGAACUGAGACACGGUCCAGACUCCUACGGGAGGCAGCAGUGGGGAAUAUGGGACAAUGGGCGCAAGCCUGAUCCAGCCAUACCGCGAGGGUGAAGAAGGCCUUCGGGUUGUAAAGCCCUUUUGUUGGGAAAGAAAUCCAGCUGGCUAAUACCCGGUUGGGAUGACGGUACCCAAAGAAUAAGCACCGGCUAACUUCGUGCCAGCCGCCGCCGUAA
rnacentral:rRNA from 1 species